GUGCUCGCUUCGGCAGCACAUAUAUUUUUGAAAGAGAGAGAGA
rnacentral:sRNA from 1 species